AGGGUUUGAUUAUGGCUCAGGAUAAACGCUGGCGGCGUGCUUAACACAUGCAAGUCGAACGAAGUUUUUCUUUCGGGAGGAACUUAGUGGCGGACGGGUGAGUAACGCGUGGGUAACCUGCCCUGUACAGGGGGACAACAGCUGGAAACGACUGCUAAUACCGCAUAAGCCCACGACCCGGCAUCGGGUUGAGGGAAAAGGAGCAAUCCGCUUUGAGAUGGCCUCGCGUCCGAUUAGCUAGUUGGUGAGGUAACGGCCCACCAAGGCGACGAUCGGUAGCCGGACUGAGAGGUUGAACGGCCACAUUGGGACUGAGACACGGCCCAG
rnacentral:rRNA from 1 species